rnacentral:rRNA from 1 species
GACGAACGCUGGCGGCGUGCUUAACACAUGCAAGUCGAACGGUAAGGCCCUUCGGAGUACACGAGUGGCGAACGGGUGAGUAACACGUGGGUGAUCUGCCCUGCACUUCGGGAUAAGCCUGGGAAACUGGGUCUAAUACCGGAUAGGACCACUGCCUGCAUGGGUGGUGGUGGAAAGCUUUUGCGGUGUGGGAUGGGCCCGCGGCCUAUCAGCUUGUUGGUGGGGUGAUGGCCUACCAAGGCGACGACGGGUAGCCGGCCUGCGAGGGUGACCCGCCACACUGGGACUGAGAUACGGCCCAGACUCCUACGGGAGGCAGCAGUGGGGACUAUUGCACAAUGGGCGCAAGCCUGAUGCAGCGACGCCGCGUGAGGGAUGACGGCCUUCGGGUUGUAAACCUCUUUCAGCACCGACGAAGCGCAAGUGACGGUAGGUGCAGAAGAAGGACCGGCCAACUACGUGCCAGCCGCCGCCGUAA